AAAAAUGUUUGGUCUCGUGCCAAAUAAACAUUUGUGUGCACCAUUGUCUGUCCUUGGUAGUUCGAGUCGCGCUCGGCCGAUCUCAACAAUCGGUGAGCGCCUACCCCUUAGGGGGUUGGGCUACCGCCUUUUUGAACAAACCUUUAUGUCGUUUUCUUUAUGUCUAGAACGAAAAGUUAAUCUUUUUUGAUUAAUGUAUUCUUAUAC
rnacentral:misc_RNA from 1 species